UUGAGUCCCCCGGGUUCCCACCUUUUCUCUCUCUCUCUCUCUCUCUCUCUCUCUCUCUUGGUCUUGUUAUUUUUGUGUCCUGUUGUUUUGUUAUUUUUUUCCUUAAGUUCUGUAGCACCCGUUCUUCAGCCGCAUCCUGCUGAGCUGGCCUUGGCAGAACAUAUUGCAAGUUUGUGUUUUAAAUCCUGGGUACACUUACCUGAGGUACCCAGAAGCUUACCUUACUUCUCUGUGAAUUUUGGCCUCCAAGGAGGGUUUGCCCAUGUCACUGAAGAUCAACACAAAUUCCCCCAUUACUUUGAAAAGAUGAUGAGACUGAGCUACAGAAAGGCAUUAAUAAAUUUACCAGGGGCAUGCUCUAAUAAGUGACAGAACCAAAGGGCAUCAUCAAACUCUAAGGAACAAGUGGCCUCACUUCUUCAUUUACAAUUAAACACCAUGGUGUCCAAGAAGAAGAUACCACUCAUUUCACACAGAUAGUUUCUGGGCAGAUAUAAGAGUGUAGAUCUUUCAAUUGAUUUCUUUCAGUUUCAUUCCAUUGUAUAUUACUAAACAACUGACCCUCAGGUCGUAAGAGUCAUGGGCUGGGUUUGCGACAACUGUGCAUCAUUGGAUUGUGUUGGUUCCCUUCCCCUGUGGACUUCAUUUCAGUAACUAUGGACAAAGCCAGUUAUGUUGGGUGAUCUGCUCAUGUCCUAUUCUGUACUGAACUAUUUAGUUAAUCCAUAGGAAGACUUUUCUGAAGGAUUAUCUAAGAAGCCUAGCAAAUCAUUGGUUCAGAGGGAAGUGGGUCUGCUUCAAGAUUGGUAAGUCUGUUAACUGGCUUCUUUUGAAUUUUUCAACCUACAAGUUGGCAUAUUCAGUAAUAAUUGAAAUUUCACUCUAUUUUAUGGAAGUUCUUCAUUUUCUACCUGUAAUGUAUAUAUCACUGCUAUUAUUUUUAUUAAAGGUAAAAAGAAUGUCCCCCCAAAUAAUAAAGAAUUAA